rnacentral:misc_RNA from 1 species
UAUAUGAAAAAUACCUCAAUUACAUGGUAUCAGAGCAACAGGUACCUAGCUCCGAAGUUUUUUUUCCGUUGAAAAUUUUCUACCAUUCCCUGUUCCAGUUCAUCGGCACAAUGUAACCUAGGAGGACUCCCUAGGACUAUCAAGGUACCUCACAGCCAGCCUCAAAAGGAGGCCCAGGUACCGAUCGGCCGCCCCUCAAAGUCUGGUGACCAGACGUGGAGAGAGUGGCCUCCACGCGCCACUUCUGUGUUUCGGCUACUGUUCCACGCGCCGGUGCAUGUCCGCAUGUGUGGUGUUUUCCGGUGACUCCUGACAGCCAAACAUUCUUCCCCAGCGUCGCCCCGACGAGGUGAUCCCAUCCCUGCAGGCCGUGUUUGGUUUUGGCGCUGCGUUCUUGGCAGUGUUUGAAGAAUCGCUUCUCUCGGGUCACUGGAUCUGCUGGUGUUCGAUAGCUCAGGCUAUUUGUGGACUUUAAGGUGCAAUGGCUGAGAGUGAGACCAAUUCUAUAAUCACAUGUAGUCCCAGUGAUGACUAAAAUCACUGAAAACAAACUUAAUGGCUUAAACUACUUGGAGUGGAACAAAACUGUUCGGAUUUAUUUAAGGAGCAUUGACAAAGAUGAUCAUCUCACAAAAGAU